UGGAAUGCAACCGGGUGUUCAAUGGGUUCGCCUCGUGCUGCAGCCGUGUCGCUUGUCUUAGCUGCUGUGCGGGUUGACCUAUUGAUCUGAGAAAUACCGGCGAACUUGAUCUGGAUAAUACCAGCGAAAGGACCUGCAUCUGAUAUUCUC
rnacentral:ncRNA from 1 species